AGAGUUUGAUCCUGGCUCAGGAUGAACGCUAGCUACAGGCUUAACACAUGCAAGUCGAGGGGCAGCAUGUAUCUGGUUUUCCAGAUAUGAUGGCGACCGGCGCACGGGUGCGUAACGCGUAUCCAAUCUACCGCAUACUCGGGUCCAGCCUUGCGAAAGCAAGAUUAAUCCCCGAUACGGCCAUUAUUUCGCAUGAGGUAUUGGUGAAAGAUUCAUUUUGGUAUGCGAUGAGGGUGCGUACGAUUAGCUAGUCGGCGGGGUAACGGCCCACCGAGGCUACGAUCGUUAGGGGUUCUGAGAGGAUGAUCCCCCACACUGGUACUGAGACACGGACCAGACUCCUACGGGAGGCAGCAGUGAGGAAUAUUGGUCAAUGGGCGGAAGCCUGAACCAGCCAAGUAGCGUGCAGGAUGACGGCCUUCCAGGUUGUAAACUGCUUUUGUGCGGGAGUAAUGUUCGCCACGUGUUGGCGUUUUGCAAGUACCGCACGAAUAAGGACCGGCUAAUUCCGUGCCAGCAGCCGCGGUAAUACGGAAGGUCCGGGCGUUAUCCGGAUUUAUUGGGUUUAAAGGGAGCGCAGGCGGGAAGUCAAGCGGGCUGUGAAAUACCGGGGCCCAACCUCGGGGCUGCAGUUCGAACUGGUUUUCUUGAGUGCGCGCAGCGCUGCUGGAACUCGUGGUGUAGCGGUGAAAUGCUUAGAUAUCACGAAGAACUCCGAUCGCGAAGGCAGGCAGCGGGCGCAUUACUGACGCUGAGGCUCGAAAGUGCGGGUAUCGAACAGGAUUAGAUACCCUGGUAGUCCGCACGGUAAACGAUGGACACUCGCGGUUCGGUCCGUUUUAGGAUUGUGCCGCUUAGCGAAAGCGUUAAGUGUCCCACCUGGGGAGUACGCCGGCAACGGUGAAACUCAAAGGAAUUGACGG
rnacentral:rRNA from 1 species